AUGGUGAUCAGCUUCGGUUGCUCGGCACGUAGAAGGCCGACAUGGAUCUUGGCACUGCUGCUGCUCAUCCUGAUCACGAUGAUUCGAGUCCAUGGCCAGUCUUCUACCUCUGGAUUCAUAAGCCUCGACUGUGGGUACAGAAACACUAGCCCCUACAAGGACAGCGUCAUACGAGGAAUACAGCUCCUGUCCGAUGUUGGAUUCGUCGAGGGAGGUUUGACCCACCAAAUAGCAGCAGAGUUCAUGUCUGGUGCGGUAUAUGAGAGCCAAAAAACCUUGAGGAGCUUCCCCAACGGCUCACGGAAUUGCUACACGCUGCCAUCCACCACUGGUAAAAAGUUUUUGCUGAGGGCCUUGUUUACUUACGGAGACUACGAUGGGUUGAACAGGACUGUGGACGGGACUUUGUUUCUGUUUGGGCUCCAUAUCGGCGUCAAUUUUUGGGAUACGCUGAACUUAACAAAUAUGGAUCCAUCAAACACAUUAUGGAAGGAGGUGCUCACCGUUGCUCCGGGCGACUCUGUGUCAGUCUGCCUGAUAAACUUCGGUUUAGGGACUCCAUCCGUGUCUGCGUUGGAGCUGAGGCCACUGCUAGAUGCGAUGUACCCUUUUGUGAAUACUUCCGUAUCAGUGGGCUACUUUAGACGGAUCAGAUUCGGUGAAGCCACUAACUUUAUCACAAGAUAUCCAGUGGACCCUUACGACCGGUUCUGGGAGCAGUGGGCACUCAAUUCUUACCCCUGGAUCAACCUGAACACUAGCAGUCAAGUGGAGAUUCUCCCUGGCGACGACUACUUCAAUGUGCCGAUGGCCAUCUUCCAGAAGGCCACGACCCUAGACACGAACUACUCCUCAUCGUGA
rnacentral:rRNA from 1 species